UACGAAGGGGGGCUAGCGUUGUUCGGAAUCACUGGGCGUAAAGGGCGCGUAGGCGGCUAGAUAAGUCGGGGGUGAAAGCCUGUGGCUCAACCACAGAAUUGCCUUCGAUACUGUCUGGCUUGAGACCGGAAGAGGUUAGUGGAACUGCGAGUGGUAGAGGUGAAAUUCGUAGAUAUUCGCAAGAACACCAGUGGCGAAGGCGGCUGACUGGUCCGGUUCUGACGCCUGGAGGCGCGAAAGCGUGGGGAGCAAACAGG
rnacentral:rRNA from 1 species